UAUACUUUAUUCAGAAGGUAUGAUUUGCACUCAUAAAGAAAGAUAAUCGCCAUCUUUA
rnacentral:tRNA from 1 species